AGCAAGGGCACCUGGGCGCGGGGAGAGCCGUUCCCCUACAGAAAGCAAGCGUGUUGUGUCUACAACCGAACAGGGACACUGCUUUCAUCCCAAAGAACAGCACCCGUCUGCCUAGAAUUUCUACCUGGCUCUAGGAGGUGAGAACACAUUCCCCGCUAGCACAGAAAUCCUACAAACUUCUGUGGGGGCUGCGGUUAGAAGCACAGGCUGUGUGAAAGGUGACUCCGGGGGCUACGAAAAAAAGGCUGUGUGAAAGGUGACUCCGGGGGCUACGAAAAAACACGAAGGUUUUCACAGAGGGUGAGAACCCAAGACACUGGAGACCAUGAAGCAAUCUUGAAAAAGCAGCCCCACGUAAAAGGGAAGAGAAGAGCACUGGGGCCACUUAGCUUGUGUUAAGCAAGCUCACGACAGGGGCGGAGAGUACAGUAACACAAUACUUUCUCUUUCUUAUGCUUGCGACCGUAGGACAACACUUAACAUGCCGGUAAAGCUACAAACCCGUAAAAACAAAUUUUUCCCAUUUGGGUUAAUCGCGGGAUCAGUACAUCCACAGUACAAUGGAAAAGCAACGCCCUGGGAGAACAACCUUCAUAACAUUCUCUCCUAUGCCAGGUAAUUAUGAGGUUACACGCUUCCGUCUUGCUACUGCUCCACACGCCUCACCCUUUUUGCACACACGGUCACUUGCCCCGCGCACCCCGGAGCCCUUCUAGCCUUGACACACAGCUGGGACUUUCAGGUCUGAACAGCGGUCCUGGACUUGCUCCCACAGCACGGGAACUCCUUCGUAGCGAAGCAGCCGGUGGCGAAGCAGCAGCCCCUGCGCUGCCUCAUCUACAUAGAAGUCGCCCU
rnacentral:lncRNA from 1 species